ACGGAAGGCAGCAGUGGGGAAUAUUGGGCAAUGGGCGAAAGCCUGACCCAGCAACGCCGCGUGAAGGAAGAAGGUUUUCGGAUUGUAAACUUCUUUUAUCAGGGACGAAGAAAGUGACGGUACCUGAUGAAUAAGCCACGGCUAACUACGUGCCAGCAGCCGCGGUAAUACGUAGGUGGCAAGCGUUAUCCGGAUUUACUGGGUGUAAAGGGCGCGUAGGCGGGGAUGCAAGUCAGGUGUGAAAUCUAUGGGCUUAACCCAUAAACUGCAUUUGAAACUGUAUCUCUUGAGUGUCGGAGAGGUAGACGGAAUUCCUAGUGUAGCGGUGAAAUGCGUAGAUAUUAGGAGGAACACCAGUGGCGAAGGCGGCUUGCUGGACUGUUACUGACACUGAGGCACGAAAGCGUGGGGAGCAAACAGGAUUAGAUACCCUGGUA
rnacentral:rRNA from 1 species